rnacentral:tRNA from 1 species
GGAGAGGUGGCAGAGUGGUUGAAUGCGCACGAUUCGAAAUCGUGUUUACGUUCAUAGCGUAACGAGGGUUCGAAUCCCUCCCUCUCCGCCA